AUGGUCGGCCAUGUGGGAGUCCAGCGCCUUUAACCACCACGCCACUUGCCAGCCCCGAUAGCCACAACUUCUGACGUGCAACUGACCCUGGGCCCUUAGAGCAGCUGCUGUCUUCUGGUCCCUGCAGACCAGGUCCAACAGCCUGUGCUCUGUACUUCUUUCCCCCUAGUUUUCCUGAUUGGCCAACACCUCAGGAUGAUGCUGGGAGCUGAGGAGAACCUACCCUGCCCUAGACCUCCAGGAGGGAAGCAGAGUGGGUCCUGGAGGAUGAUGCAUCAUCCAGCAUGAAAGAGAGCCCAGCGAGAACACACGCCCUACGGCAAAAACCUCUUACAAAAAUAAUCAAGUGUGUGGUUUGCAGUAUGAGGACUGGGGAGCUCUGGCUUAGCUGACAAAAUCUGUAUCCCAGCUUCGAGAGCAUGUUUAUUACUGCACAUCAAUUCCCCAUCUGGCUGGAAAUAAAGUGUAAACCUCAUUGGCUACAAAUACCUCCUUGAACUUCAAGUUCAGAUUCUCUUUAUAAAGCCAACUAUAUGAAUGACAUUGAAGCAGUGAAGGGAUGAUGUCAAAGACUACACUAAUUUCAGUGGUAAGAAAAAAGUGCUCAUUCUGUUAUCAAACAUGAGAAUACUAACACUACAAAAGGACUUUUGAUUUCGUAAUUUCAAUUGAAGCUAUUAGAAAAGGGAUAUUACUGAGAACUUGUAUUGGCAGGAGAGUCUAUGUGCUCAUAAACCAAUCAGGACCUGUUUAAGUAAAGAACUUUUAAGAGAGGUUUUUGCUAUAGUGUGUAUGUGCUUACAAGAGAGACAGAGACAAA